rnacentral:lncRNA from 1 species
CGGAUUCAUGUUCAGAGAGAGAAAAACACGAAUGUUGUCCACAUCGGUGGUUAGCGCACACAGAAUCAAAAUCGCACAUAGUUUUAAAAAAGAAAAAGAAAAAGAAAAAUCUCUAUGAGAAGAGUGGACAACUAGGAAUGGCAAGGUGCGUGAAGCCACGUGAGAGUGGGUCCCCUCAGCGCGUGAAAUACAGUUUCGGGAAUGAGC